GGAUGCGAUCAUACCAGCAACUAAAGCACCGGAUCCCAUCAGAACUCCGAAGUUAAGCGUGCUUGGGCGAGAGUAGUACUAGGAUGGGUGACCUCCUGGGAAGUCCUUGUGUUGCAUUCC
rnacentral:rRNA from 16 species